rnacentral:lncRNA from 1 species
GCAUCCGCGGCUCAGCCAAGCUGCUGUUUUAAAAGAGCAAUAAAAAUGAAUUAUGACUAAACGCCUUCUAACUUAAUGCUUUCGGACGGGGAUCCCCGGCAAAUACGUAAGAGGAUUUUUAUUUGUGCAUGUGUUCCUGCAAUUGAUCUCUUUGAUGACAUUCUCAUUCAUAGAAAGCGUUUGAUUUAUGAGCGUAGGACGAAUCGAAAACAGC